rnacentral:ncRNA from 1 species
AACUAGAGACACGGGAGUCCCGGGAGCGGGGCUGAGAGUGGGCUACCCCUUUGUGCAAGUUUGUGCAAGCCAGCUUGCACUUCGGACCUGCCCUUACCGUCACACCUGAUCCGGAUCAUGCCGGCGAAGGGAGGCCAAAGAUGCCGUCAG